GUUUUAUUCAACAAACCUUUAAUGACAGAAACAAGCUUACAUUUGUUUCAAAUUACACAUCUAUGAACAAUUGCCAGCAAUUAUACAUCUUAAAGUCAUCAAUAUAGUCCCUUCUCUUCAAUCAAUAUAUAUUACACCUUAUCACCAUUGCCCACAAAGUCAUCUUCAACCACUCACUAUAUAACACAAAGUUUCCCACAUUUUCCAUUUCUAUUUUUGUUUUUCUUUUCAAACCCCCACAUGAUUAUUUAGUACUAGUUGCAAUAACAUUAACAAAUGCAGGGGCCAAUAAAGAUUUCUUUCCCCUAACUAGCCCAAAGCAUAUAUAAGAUAAAACAAUUGAUCAAGAGAAAUUCUUAUAUGAACACUUUAAUUAUAACCUUGACCAAUCAAAAACUCAAAAUACAAUUGUUUUAAUGUAUUUUUCAUUUUGCUUGAUUAAUUGGAUAUAUGUAUGUGUUCAAAUAAGAAUGAAUCGUUGAUCAAAAUAUUCAAAACUAUGUUCACUUGCAACCAUUUGGUCCAAACCCAAUCUUACCACCACCAACAUCAUAAACAACCUCUAAUGUUCUUUGUUGCACAUUUCCAAAGAUAGUAAUAUCACUAUCAUCUCCAUUUGGCGCAAACGCCAAACAAGCUUGCUUCAAACUCGCCACGUAAAGUAUCCCUGGCGCGGCUAUUUCCACCGUGACACCACCUCCGAGGAAAAAACUAAUCUUUGGAAUGGAAACAAUCUUG
rnacentral:lncRNA from 1 species